rnacentral:tRNA from 1 species
GCACUGGUGACCCGGGCUGGUGCUCGGUCAGGACUUCAAAUCCUGGGGCGUCGGGAGGCGCAGGCGUUCGAUUCGCCCUCCGGUGCG